GACGAACGCUGGCGGCGUGCUUAACACAUGCAAGUCGAACGGAAAGGCCCUGCUUUUGUGGGGUGCUCGAGUGGCGAACGGGUGAGUAACACGUGAGUAACCUGCCCUUGACUUUGGGAUAACUUCAGGAAACUGGGGCUAAUACCGGAUAGGAGCUCCUGCUGCAUGGUGGGGGUUGGAAAGUUUCGGCGGUUGGGGAUGGACUCGCGGCUUAUCAGCUUGUUGGUGGGGUAGUGGCUUACCAAGGCUUUGACGGGUAGCCGGCCUGGGAGGGUGACCGGCCACAUUGGGACUGAGGUACGGCCCAGCCGCCUACGGGGGGCAGCAGUGGGGAAUAUUGCACAAUGGGCGGAGGCCUGAUGCAGCAACGCCGCGUGCGGGAUGACGGCCUUCGGGUUGUAAACCGCUUUCGCCUGUGACGAAGCGUGAGUGACGGUAAUGGGUAAAGAAGCACCGGCUAACUACGU
rnacentral:rRNA from 1 species